rnacentral:misc_RNA from 1 species
UCCGUGUUAACCACGGCAGUCUCUUUAGAGUGCCCAACUGAAUGCUGGCAACUAAAGACAAGGGUUGCGCUCGUUGCGGGACUUAACCCAACAUGUCACCACACGAGCUGACGACAGCCAUGCAGCACCUGUAUCCCGGUCGUAUUGCUACGAAAACCACAUCUCUGUGGCGGUCCGAGUAUGUCAAGCCCAGGUAAGGUUCUUCGCGUUGCUUCGAAUUAAACCACAUGAUCCACCGCUUGUGCGGGCCCCCGUCAAUUCCUUUGAGUUUUAGUCUUGCGACCGUACUUCCCAGGCGGGGAACUUAUCGCGUUAGCUGCGGCUCGGCGGGGGUCAAGACCCACCAAGCCUAGUUCCCAUCGUUUACAGCGUGGACUAC